rnacentral:lncRNA from 1 species
GAUGCUUCUCCAGUCCAAAGCCCAGGCAAGACAAGAUGCCUUCUCCAGCUGUAGGCUUGACCGCCACGUGUCACUCUCAGGCAGCCGUUGACCUCAAUUAGCCCCCCCUUAAUCAGCGGCUACAGGAGGUCUCCUCCAGCUGCCAUUAAAUAAACUAACAACGUUAACAGCAUGAGACAGUGCAAGCAAAGUGGAAGAUGAUGGCACACUGAAAGAUCAGUUGUUCUUGCAUUUGUAAUUAGCUGCAGCGUCCAAAUGCAUCCAACAAAAUAUACUAUUUUUUUUUCUUCCAGAGAUGGGUCACAAAUCAUGACAUCUACUACUUUAUAAUCACUCACCUGAAGAAUUAGGACAAGUAUUAAACUUGAGCUGCAGAGUCAAACCUAGAGUGAUUAACCACCUCUCCUCCCUCUUCUCUCUCCUCUCCUUCUCACUCCCUUUGUCUUGCAGUCCUCUAGCUGCUCUGUUCCUCUCUCC